rnacentral:rRNA from 1 species
UACGAAGGGGGCUAGCGUUGCUCGGAAUCACUGGGCGUAAAGGGCGCGUAGGCGGCCAUUCAAGUCGGAGGUGAAAGCCCAGGGCUCAACCCUGGAAUUGCCUUCGAUACUGUUUGGCUAGAGACCGGAAGAGGUAAGUGGAACUGCGAGUGUAGAGGUGAAAUUCGUAGAUAUUCGCAAGAACACCAGUGGCGAAGGCGGCUUACUGGUCCGGUUCUGACGCUGAGGCGCGAAAGCGUGGGGAGCAGACAGG